rnacentral:lncRNA from 1 species
UAGACCUUACAGCGGCCUUCCAGUGCCUGAAGAGAACAAAACUGGUCAAGAAUUCAGCUGCAGGAAAAUCCAUAUGGAAGAUUUCCUCUCUCUUUGUUGGUCUGAAGCAACAGAAGUAUUAUCUGCGUUCGAAAGGAGCUGAAGACUGGUGCCAGAGCAGUCACAUCUGAAAGCCUCUCUCAUCUAAGAUUCAAGAAAAUGGCUUCUUGUCUAACAGUAAACGACAUUAUUAAUUUAUAUGGCAUUUCUGUGCCAACAAAAAGUCUGAAGAAGUGCCAUUUUGCCUUGACGCUGACACAAAGCAGCCCUGACGGGUCCUCCUUACCCUUCCCAAUGGUCG